UACAGAGGGUGCAAGCGUUGUUCGGAAUUACUGGGCGUAAAGGGCGCGUAGGCGGCCUUCUAAGUCAGACGUGAAAUCCCCCGGCUUAACCUGGGAACUGCGUCUGAUACUGGAGGGCUUGAGUAUGGGAGAGGGAUGUAGAAUUCCAGGUGUAGCGGUGAAAUGCGUAGAUAUCUGGAGGAAUACCGGUGGCGAAGGCGGCAUCCUGGACCAUUACUGACGCUGAGGCGCGAAAGCUAGGGGAGCAAACGGG
rnacentral:rRNA from 1 species